rnacentral:rRNA from 1 species
CUAAUACAUGCAAGUAGAACGCUGAAGAGAGGAUUUUGCUCUUCUUGGAUGAGUUGCGAACGGGUGAGUAACGCGUAGGUAACCUGCCUUGUAGCGGGGGAUAACUAUUGGAAACGAUAGCUAAUACCGCAUAACAAUGGAUGACACAUGUCAUUUAUUUGAAAGGGGCAAAUGCUCCACUACAAGAUGGACCUGCGUUGUAUUAGCUAGUAGGUGAGGUAACGGCUCACCUAGGCGACGAUACAUAGCCGACCUGAGAGGGUGAUCGGCCACACUGGGACUGAGACACGGCCCAGACUCCUACGGGAGGCAGCAGUAGGGAAUCUUCGGCAAUGGGGGCAACCCUGACCGAGCAACGCCGCGUGAGUGAAGAAGGUUUUCGGAUCGUAAAGCUCUGUUGUAAGUCAAGAACGAGUGUGAGAGUGGAAAGUUCACACUGUGACGGUAGCUUACCAGAAAGGGACGGCUAACUACGUGCCAGCAGCCGCGGUAAUACGUAGGUCCCGAGCGUUGUCCGGAUUUAUUGGGCGUAAAGCGAGCGCAGGCGGUUUGAUAAGUCUGAAGUUAAAGGCUGUGGCUCAACCAUAGUUCGCUUUGGAAACUGUCAAACUUGAGUGCAGAAGGGGAGAGUGGAAUUCCAUGUGUAGCGGUGAAAUGCGUAGAUAUAUGGAGGAACACCGGUGGCGAAAGCGGCUCUCUGGUCUGUAACUGACGCUGAGGCUCGAAAGCGUGGGGAGCGAACAGGAUUAGAUACCCUGGUAGUCCACGCCGUAAACGAUGAGUGCUAGGUGUUGGAUCCUUUCCGGGAUUCAGUGCCGCAGCUAACGCAUUAAGCACUCCGCCUGGGGAGUACGACCGCAAGGUUGAAACUCAAAGGAAUUGACGGGGGCCCGCACAAGCGGUGGAGCAUGUGGUUUAAUUCGAAGCAACGCGAAGAACCUUACCAGGUCUUGACAUCCCGAUGCUAUUUCUAGAGAUAGAAAGUUACUUCGGUACAUCGGUGACAGGUGGUGCAUGGUUGUCGUCAGCUCGUGUCGUGAGAUGUUGGGUUAAGUCCCGCAACGAGCGCAACCCCUAUUGUUAGUUGCCAUCAUUCAGUUGGGCACUCUAGCGAGACUGCCGGUAAUAAACCGGAGGAAGGUGGGGAUGACGUCAAAUCAUCAUGCCCCUUAUGACCUGGGCUACACACGUGCUACAAUGGUUGGUACAACGAGUUGCGAGUCGGUGACGGCAAGCUAAUCUCUUAAAGCCAAUCUCAGUUCGGAUUGUAGGCUGCAACUCGCCUACAUGAAGUCGGAAUCGCUAGUAAUCGCGGAUCAGCACGCCGCGGUGAAUACGUUCCCGGGCCUUGUACACACCGCCCGUCACACCACGAGAGUUUGUAACACCCGAAGUCGGUGAGGUAACCUUAUGGAGCCAGCCGCCUAAGGUGGGAUAGAUGAUUGGGGUGAAA